CAAUAGCGUAUAUUAAAGUUGUUGCAGUUAAAAAGCUCGUAGUUGGAUUUCUGGUUGGAGCGACCGGUCGGGCAUUGAUUUGUCUGCACUGGAGUCGGUUCCGUCCAUCCUCCUGGAAAGUGCGUAUGGCAUUAAGUUGUCGUGCGUAUGAUCCAGGUCUUUUACUGUGAAAAAAUUAGAGUGUUUAAAGCAGGCCUUCGCCUUGAAUACAUUAGCAUGGAAUAAUAAGAUAGGACUUGGGUCUAUUUUGUUGGUUUGCAGACCGAAGUAAUGACUAAUAGGGAUAGUUGGGGGUAUUUAUAUUCCGAUGUCAGAGGUGAAAUUCUUAGAUUUUCGGAAGAUAAACUUAUGCGAAAGCAUUUACCAAGGAUGUUUUCAUUAA
rnacentral:rRNA from 1 species